rnacentral:rRNA from 1 species
UACGUAGGGGGCAAGCGUUGUCCGGAAUCAUUGGGCGUAAAGCGCGUGUAGGCGGCCCGAUAAGUCCGCUGUGAAAGUCCAGGGCUCAACCCUGGAAUGCCGGUGGAUACUGUCGGGCUCGAGUCCGGAAGAGGCGAGUGGAAUUCCUGGUGUAGAGGUGAAAUGCGCAGAUAUCAGGAGGAACACCAAUAGCGAAGGCAGCUCGCUGGGACGGUAUUGACGCUGAGGCGCGAAAGCGUGGGGAGCAAACAGG